rnacentral:rRNA from 1 species
CCUACGGGUGACAGCAGUCGAGAAUCAUUCACAAUGGGGGAAACCCUGAUGGUGCGACGCCGCGUGGGGGAAUGAAGGUCUUCGGAUUGUAAACCCCUGUCAUGUGGGAGCAAAUUAAAAAGAUAGUACCACAAGAGGAAGAGACGGCUAACUCUGUGCCAGCAGCCGCGGUAAUACAGAGGUCUCAAGCGUUGUUCGGAAUCACUGGGCGUAAGGCGUGCGUAGGCUGUUUCGUAAGUCGUGUGUGAAAGGCGCGGGCUCAACCCGCGGACGGCACAUGAUACUGCGAGACUAGAGUAAUGGAGGGGGAACCGGAAUUCUCGGUGUAGCAGUGAAAUGCGUAGAUAUCGAGAGGAACACUCGUGGCGAAGGCGGGUUCCUGGACAUUAACUGACGCUGAGGCACGAAGGCCAGGGGAGCGAAAGGGAUUAGAUACUCGAGUAGUC